AAGAGAUAUUAGUAAAAUUUACAUAAUCUUGUCAAGGUUAAAUUAUGGGUGAAACCCCAUAUAUCUCU